rnacentral:rRNA from 1 species
AAUCAACGCUGGCGGCGUGCCUCAGACAUGCAAGUCGAACGAUUAAAGCUCUCUUCGGAGAGUGUAUAGAGUGGCGCACGGGUGAGUAACACGUAAGUAAUCUACCCUCGAGUGGGGAAUAACAACCGGAAACGGUUGCUAAUACCGCAUAAUGCAGCGGCACCGCAAGGUGACAGUUGUUAAAGAUUUAUCGCUUGAGGAGGAGCUUGCGGCAGAUUAGCUAGUUGGUAGGGUAACGGCUUACCAAGGCUACGAUCUGUAACCGGUCUAAGAGGACGGUCGGUCACACUGACACUGAAUAACGGGUCAGACUCCUACGGGAGGCAGCAGCCGGGAAUUUUGGGCAAUGGGCGAAAGCCUGACCCAGCAACGCCGCGUGAAGGAUGAAGUAUUUCGGUAUGUAAACUUCGAAAGAAUAGGAAGAAUUAAUGACGGUACUAUUUAUAAGGUCCGGCUAACUACGUGCCAGCAGCCGCGGUAAU